rnacentral:lncRNA from 1 species
UAGUGGCAGGAAUCAGCAUGACUGUUGUGUUCCUUUUCAUUCUUGUAAUUAUUGGUGCUUGUUAUGUAUGGAAAAAAUCAAAGGGAAGUUUGGUUGAAAACAAUUCUGACCCCUCUGGUGAACCUGGAGUGGCCUUAAAAGAUUUUCAACACUUGAAAACCAACACGAGUGGCCUUUUGGAAGCACAUUACACUGACAGUGGGAGCGCUGUUGCAUGACCCUUUGGUCUGUGCACCUGUAUGGCAAAGCUGCAUAUACCAUGGGACUUAGGGAGGAAAAAAGAAAGGAAAAUCCUCUGUAGCUAUUUAAACAGCACUCCCGAAGAGUUGUAUCUUCAUAAAAGUCCAAUUCUUGAAAUUAAAGAGAUCCUAAUUACAGAAAACGGCACACUUAGGCUAUGUCUGUUCCAAUAAAUCAAACCUGCACAGGAACAUUGCUACUGUUGAGACGAGCUGGUAUAGCCCGUGUUUAUAUUUGCAUGUGUGUGAAAUGCCUAUUGGGAACGGUUCCUGGAGGGCUCUAGCUUCCAAAAUUUAGCUAGGGUCAAAAACCAAUUUACCAGCAUCAACAGUAGUAUUCCAGUGCCUGGGAGUUUCCUAGGCUGUGUUUAAUUUACUGGUCUAUAUACACAGUGUUAUUGUUUAAGGCUAUUUUUAAACUACUGCUGCAUUUUUGAUUUAGAUAUUCAUUCAUUGACAUUUAUUAGCAGUCAUUAAUCAAAGCAGGCCACUGCACAAUUUCGUUUAUUUGCUGUGCUGUUUUUUCUGUUGUAUUGUAGCCGUCGAAAAGGCCAGUGGCUCCAAUGUAAGGCUCAUUGCUAAAAGCUUGUUAUGGUACCUUAGACUGAACUGUGUUGCACUUUCUCACUAGGUAGAUGCUCUCAUAGAACGGAGUAACAGAAUAGUCUCACACCCUGACCUGAAGCCAAAGCUCAGAAAUCACUAGUGCAAUAUACAUUCAUAUCCUUGCCUAUGACAUUGCAAGUAUGUGUAAAUUAAUCUGUGUGAAAACCUGUGUUGCAAGAAGGCUGCCACUAGUACCUAGAGAAAUUCCAUAACCUGAACAAGCUUCUCGGGCCACUCAUUUUCCUCAGUAAUAGAAGAGAAGAAUGCUGUCAGCUUUCAGUUUCAGAUACUGACUGACAUUCUAUGCAAAUAAAAGCAGUUUCUUGCUGGGGUCUGCACUUACCUGAUGAAAACCAAAGAGGUAUUUUCAGCUGACUUCCAUGAAAGAAAAAUUCACUUUUUCAUCACUUUUUCCAUUGCUCAAUAGAUAUAGAUAUCUUCUUCAUUUCCAUGUGCUUAUUCUGAGUUUAAGAUGAGGUAACUAUAUGAAUUAUAUCUGCAGUGAUAUUUAUUAGGGGUGGGAGAUUGUGCUAUAUCUGCUUCUUGUGUGGUUUUUUAAUGUACAUUUGUUUUCCUUCCAUUAAACACGUUCAGUAAGAGCUUGAAUGCUUUUUUAGAUUCUAGAUCAAGAGUGCCUUUGGAAACAAACUAGUUGAAUGCAGAGGAAGUAAGAAAAACAAACAUUUGC